UACAGAGGGUGCAAGCGUUGCUCGGAUUUACUGGGCGUAAAGCGUACGCAGACGGCUGGAAAGGUCGGACGUGAAAGCCCCGGGCUCAACCCGGGAAAUGCGUCCGAAACCAUCCGGCUCGAGUAUGGGAGAGGAAAGCGGAAUUCCUGGUGUAGAGGUGAAAUUCGUAGAUAUCAGGAGGAACACCGGCGGCGAAGGCGGCUUUCUGGCCCAUUACUGACGUUCAGGUACGAAAGCGUGGGUAGCAAACAGG
rnacentral:rRNA from 1 species